rnacentral:rRNA from 1 species
GACGGAAGGUGCAAGCGUUGCUCGGAAUCACUGGGCGUAAAGGGUGCGUAGGCGGCCGCGCAAGUCUGGCGUGAAAGCCCCGGGCUCAGCCCGGGAAGGGCGCUCGAAACGGCGCGGCUCGAGUGCCGGAGGGGAGAGUGGAAUUCCUGGUGUAGCGGUGAAAUGCGUAGAUAUCAGGAGGAAUACCGGUGGCGAAGGCGGCCUCCUGGCUCGAUACUGACGCUGAGGUGCGAAAGCGUGGGGAUCAAACAGG